rnacentral:misc_RNA from 1 species
UGGACAACAUUUGCUUAAGUUUGUUUUUAAAUUUGGGAGAUACUUUAAGAUUAAAACGUCAAUGGGAUUGGAAUGAUCAAACUCCGCGUACCCCAAUCCCAACACCAACGACAAGGAGGUCUACAACAACAUCUACAACAUCUACAACACCUCCUACAACAACAUCUACAACACCUCCUAAAACAACAACUGAUGGAAAACCACCAUCAAUUUGUGUACCAACACCUCCGCAAGAUGUUUAUUGUUUGGACAAUCAAGAAAUUAUUCCAGAAUGUAUAAGAAAUUGCCUUGCACAUAUCAUAGAUCAAUAUAACCCAGUUUGUGGGACAGAUGGCUGUAAUUAUCGUAACAAAGGAAGGUUGAAUUGUGCUGUAAGAUGUUGCAAGAAAGACAUCAAAGUUAAUUAUGAAUCAGUUUGUUAAAUAUAGCCGGGGAUGAUGCAUCGUUUAAAACUAUGAUAUUAUUUUGUACUUUUAUAUUUCUCGUGUUGCUUUAAACGUAUUUAAGUUGAAAUUAUAACACUAAUUUUUUAAAUAAACAAUUUAUUCACUUA